AUGGAGCAGCUUGGGAUGUCCCGUAUGAGUGUGGGGAAGACGGAAGCACUGAAGCGGUCAAUGGAGUUGUCCACCUUCAUGGACACCAACCGGCCCAUACAGAUAAUGGAUGGCUUAACGGAGUAUAGCGAUUCAACGGGCUCUGUGAAGAUGGAUGGCUUUGGACCAUUUCUAGAGGCAGCAAUCAGGGAGAAGGCAGAUAUAUCAAAUUGCUUCAUGGAGCAGAUCAUGUCUGGCAUGUCACCUUUAACAGUGGCUGUGAAUUAUUUGCUUAACAAAGGCACCAAUCCGAAUAAUGAAGACAAUAUCGGGUUUACUCCUAUCCAUUAUGCUGUGAAGGAAGAGAAUGAUGGAUUGGUGCGAUUGUUACUAUCCAAAGGAGCUAGUGCUGAUAUAUCUUCUCGUGAAGGGACGCCGCUACACAUGGCUGUGUCCCUUGGGAAUCUGGACAUUCUUAAGACUUUAUUGCAGCACAAUGCUGAUCCGAACAGGGUUUGUUCAGAUUUAGGAACACCGAUGACUGCCGCGGCUCUCUUUGCUGAUACUAAAUGUGCAGCUCCUGGAAAAAUUUCUGAGUCCGUUGCUUUAGAGUGCAUGAAGCUACUUUUCAAGGCUGGUGCUGAUCUCAACUUUUCAACUCCUGAUACUCCAUUAGUUAUAGCAGCCAGCAAAGGCUUGUCUAAAUGUGUCAAGUACUUGUUGGAGGUCGGUGCAGAUGCCAAUAUUUCAAUAAACAUUGGAACUAUGACACCGAUAGAGAUAGCUGCAGAUUCUGGAAGAAGAGAUCUGAUGGAGAUUCUAUUUCCAUACACUUCACCUAUUCCAUCUGUGUCAAACUGGAGCGUUGAUGGAAUCAUUAUAAACGCACAAUUAAGACACUUGAAGGGGAAGCAUAAGCAAAUUGAUAAAGAUAGCAAGGUUAAGGGGAAAGAGGGUGCUGGCGCAUUAAAAAAGUCCCGUUUCAAGGAAAUCACACUGGAUCCUGCAGAUGCAAUGAUGUAUUCACAAAGGAGCCUUCGCACUGUAAUGAGUAGUGAAGCACAGGCUUCUACUGAUUGUGUAAGGCUGCGACCUAAUUGGCGAAAUGAUGAUCAAUCGAUCAAUCCGAGCAAUUCACAAGCUGCAGGCCAAGAGUCUGUGAGCGGCUGUCGGAUUUCUGAUGAAAAAAUUGACAGUAGUUCAACCCUUGGUUGCAGUGAGCAGGCUAUUGUAGCCCAACAAUUAGUGGACCAAAUUGUUCAGAUCUUUAUCAAAGUUCUGGAUUAUCCAUCAGUAUCAGUUCAAAUGGAGUGCAAUACCUCAAUUCGAGAAAUGGUUUACAUUGAACUGGCGAAGCGUCAGAUUUGUCUUUCUGAUCUCUAUGUAAAAUGUGAUGGGCGGAUCAUCAGCCCAGAAAGCACACUUAUCUUAAGUGUUACUGAUUCUACUUAUACCAUCCUUCCAAGGUUAAGGGGUGGUGCUCCAAGUGACAUAAGCUUUAGGAAUCUAUCAGUAGAGAAUAGGCCACUCUAUAAACUUAUAAUAUCAACUGGUGACAAUUUAUUUGAGGUUGUUAAAUUCAGAGGUAAUUGGCCAAUUUGGCUUAAUGCAGAGUACUGUGUAUUGCUGAGUGAAUUUGGCCGGAGGAUUUACAGGAUGCUGUUUGAAUUGCUUGAGCACUACCACAGCAUGAACCGCUGCCUUGAAGCAUUUACAGUUCAUGAUAUUCUGUAUCUACCCCGGUUCAAGUGUUUAGAAUUUCUCAAUGUUGCUCAUCAUCAGUCAACUAGAGAAUUGUAUUUCCAGAAUCUUAGGGAUGUUAGAACUAUUCUGGUGAAUAUGUUAUGGUAUAAUCCAUCAAAGUUGUCUCCAAAAAGGGUAGCUGGUUUUCAUGAACUCAAUCCAACUAUCAGCAUACUCCCGCAUCUGCUUGCGGUUGCAACUAAUGAACUGCAAAACACCAUAAAUAAGAAGGAGGGUGACGCUGGAGUAACAGAGCAGUGGAGGAGACGAUUUCUUGUAGAUCCAGCAGGCAAGAGCUCUUCUGCGAGAUAUUGUUUGAUAUCGGCAGUCGAUUUGCACUGUGAUUACUUGAGUAACAACAACAGAGGUCCGUUCAAUAAUUGCUUUGAAGUCCUACAGCAUGAUUGGACGGCCAGUGUGCAGAAAAUCCCACCAAUGAAGAAAGUCCUAACUCAUAAGAUCUGGGACAUUGCAAAUCAGAACUAUGUUAUCUUCGCCUUCCAUCCUCGUCUUACUCGACAUGCAUGGAAGUUUGGAAGGAACUGGGUAACACACUCUCACGCUGGGCUAACCUCCAAGGAAGCAGAGGUUAUACUCACCUUCCUAUAUCAGGAGCUCUUGUCGAAAUGCACCAAAACUUUGCUCUGCGACUACACCGACCCAGCCCCGCCUGAAGGUCUGGAUGACAACCAAACAAAGAUGAAGGAAAUACUGUAUAUGCAGUGA
rnacentral:rRNA from 1 species